UGAGUCUUGUGCUUCGUUACUUGGAUGUUUCUUUGGUACUGGUAAGAUUGUGUGUGCACUCGUGGCUUUGUUUUGAACGGUCUUUAAUUCUUUCGGUCACCUCUUUGCUACUUUGUGAAGGAGCACCAGGAGGACGGUGUGGGGACAGUUGCAGGGACAUCGGUGUUCCCAGGGCAGAGGAGGUCCUCUGAGUACCUCGGGCAAUCAUCUUGCCUUGGUUAACGCAGUCAGACAAAGUGCAUGAGCAGACUCGGGCCUUGGGCACCAUUUCCCGGCUGCUGCGGUUUGUUUGCAAUUUCCCCACACUGCUGCACAUGGAGUUGUUUUCCAUGACUGGGAAGCUGAUUGGCAUCCUGGGCCUGUUCUGCUUGAACCCCAACCAUGAGAUCAGCCUGGGGGCAUCAGAGGCUUUGCAUUACUUGUCCAAAAUCCUUGUGCUUCAGCGAAGUGUGAGACAGAAGACAGUGAACAUCCUGAGGAACUUGCAGAAGAAUUUCCGUGGGGAGUGGUUCACCAGCAUGCAGAAUGUCACACUGUUCUUCAGGAAAUACCUGACCCCUGUGGAGAGAGCUGAUGUGAUCAUGGUGACCAUGGAGGGUAUGACCAGCACCAGUAGGGAUGACAUCUACGCAGCCUCCAACAUGUUGGAGAUGAUCCUGAAGUACUCAAUUCCAGAAAUUGGGAAGGUACCAGAAAUCAUCCAGUACAUUUACUUCCACAUGAACAGCAUCACCGAGACCACUGCCCAGAAGACCAUAAAGAAGACCCUUUACCUCCUGUCCCAGUCCUACACUGAUGAAGUGAUCCUGACUCUGUUUAAGAUAGAGGACCAGUCACAAAAAGAGGUGUGCAAACCCUGGGAGAUCCUGGCGUCCUUCCCAAAAGGCUGUGAAGUCAUCAUGAAGCAUCUGCUGCAGAGACUGGUUCCACAGCAGCCACCUCAGGACCGGGAGCCCAGCCAGAGAGCAGAGAUCUCCCCGCUGAUUGCCACCAGGGCCAUCCAUGAGCUUCUGCUGGAGUCGAGUGAGCAGAUGGAGGUGCAGACCUUGUUCUCCCCUCUGUUCGUCGCACUGCUCUUGCGGGCCUCCUUUCUCAUGGUGGCAGGGAACGUGGAAAUGACCCAGGAUCAGCAACAUGUAACGGAAUGGGUGGACCCUGUGAGUUCUACUGUGAAGGCCCUCAAGACCUUGAUGCUCAGCUCUGGCUAUGGAAACUUGGAGUCUGAAAUUGAGAAACUUGGGGGCUGGGAGCUGCUUGUCGAUCCUGAAAGACACUACGAUGGAGUCACUGUGGUGGCCAGGUCGCUGGUCAUGAAGAACUGCUGGCACAACCGCCCCAUCUUCGGCCUCCUCAUGAGGAUGCUCCAGGACCCCAACUGCACCAACCACUUCACAGCCCUGGUGUUCCUGAUGGAGCUGCUCCAGUGCCCAGAUGUGGCAGCCAUAGUGGACGACUUUGUCACCCACAUUCUGGCCAACUGGUUCAACUGUAAGGAGCCGGCCACAGUGAAGCUUCUGCUGCAGAUGACAGAGGUCUUCACAAAGCACAAGAACCUGGAGAGGCGACUCCAUAUCCUGCAGCCCCAAGUGCUGAACUGCUGCUACUCCUCCAAUGGCGACAUUGUGAUGGAGACUUUCCUGGUGCUGAAGCACCUCGUGGAGGACCUCACCUGGCAGUACUCCUCCUCCUUUCUUAUUCAGCUCACCUUCAUGCUGGAGCCCUUCUUUGAGGAGGAGUCCGAGCACCUGCGCUUGCUGGCCUUCCAGAUCUACGGCAGUCUCCUGGCCAAGGUCAAGAGAAGGGUGCUUGUCUUCCCCUUAAGGCACCAGAUCCUCAACGUGAUAGUCUUCCUGGUGCUGCACCUGCAGGAUGUGAAUUUGGAUGUGGCUCAGACCUGCCAAGUCGCACUCUGCAACACAGCUGCCCUUCUGCGUUGGUCAAAGCUCAGAGAAGUCUUCACUAAGGAAGAUGUAUUUACCAUCACUGGGGCUCUGCUGCAGCAGGAGACAAACAAAGCCCUCUGGUUUCUGAAGCAGUGUGUAGCUUUGUUCAAGAGCACCCAGGUCCCCAUUCGCCAGGCAGCGGUGUGGUUUGCAGGCCAGAUCCUGCAAACCCUGGACUUGGAAGAGAUGAAUGAAAUGGAGGAAGCAUAUGCAGCCCUGAGGCACAUGAAGAGAGACCCGGAUCCCAUGGUCAGCUGCCUUGCCACGCAGACCAUCCACGUCCUAGAAGCCAAGGAGAAGCUGCUUCUGGCCAAGCCCCCUACUUCCUGCUUCUGCAGGAGGAGACCCCAACGGGGCCACUUCUGAGCCUGCAUCCUCGAGUUGAAGCUGCAGGCCUGGGNNNNNNNNNNNNNNNNNNNNNNNNNNNNNNNNNNNNNNNNNNNNNNNNNNNNNNNNNNNNNNNNNNNNNNNNNNGGCCCAAGACUGCCAGUGGCCAGCCUCUUGGGCCUUGCACUAGAAAUACUAUGACUGCUCUAAUAAAAGGAGAAGUCCUGUACUUCUGUGGAAGGAGAUGUUGAUUCUUGGCUGUUUGGGGUAGAACCAUGUGUUGUGAGCCAGGUCAAGGCUUGCCUCUACCUGAUCUGCCAGCUCUGCCCUUCUCCCAUUCAGCCAAGUGAUCUGAGCCCAGAGCAGUUUCUUUUGAACCAACUUGGACUGGGAGUCAGUCUCUAGACUCCAGCUAUAUUGGGCAGUGUUCUUAUAUAUAUAUAUAUAAUUUUUUUUUUCAUUGUACUGGAGAUUGAACAUAGAGCCUUUGCACUGAGCUACAUUCCCAGUCCUCUUAAUUUUUUUUAAUUUUUAUUUUGUGAUAAGGUCUUGCUAAACUGCCCAGGCUGGCCUGGAACUUGAGAUCCUCUAGCCUCAGCUUCCCAGAGUGCUAGGAUUA
rnacentral:lncRNA from 1 species